UACGUAAGUACCGAGCGUUGUCCGGAUUCAUUGGGCGUAAAGGGUACGUAGGCGGUUAGAUAAGUUUGAAGUGAAAGGCUAUAGCUCAACUAUUGUGAGCAUUUAAAACUGUUUGACUUGAGAGAUGGAAGGGAGAGUGGAAUUCCUAGUGUAGCGGUGAAAUGCGUAGAUAUAAGGAGGAAUACCGGUGGCGAAAGCGACUGUCUGGCCAUUAUCUGACACUGAGGUACGAAAGCGUGGGUAGCAAACAGG
rnacentral:rRNA from 1 species